rnacentral:rRNA from 15 species
AAUUUACCUUUAGGAGGGGGACAACAAGUGGAAACAGUUGCUAAUACCCCAUAUGCUAUUAAGUAAAAUGAAAUUUUUUUCGCCUAAAGAGAAGCUUGCGGCUGAUUAGCUUGUUGGUAGAGUAAUAGCCUACCAAGGCGACGAUCAGUAUCUGGUUUGAGAGGACGAUCAGACACACUGGAACUGAGACACGGUCCAGACUCCUACGGGAGGCAGCAG